rnacentral:rRNA from 1 species
CAGUAGCCGCGGUAAUACGUAGGUGGCAAGCGUUGUCCGGAAUUAUUGGGCGUAAAGGGCUCGCAGGCGGUUUCUUAAGUCUGAUGUGAAAGCCCCCGGCUCAACCGGGGAGGGUCAUUGGAAACUGGGAAACUUGAGUGCAGAAGAGGAGAGUGGAAUUCCACGUGUAGCGGUGAAAUGCGUAGAGAUGUGGAGGAACACCAGUGGCGAAGGCGACCCUCUGGUCUGUAACUGACGCUGAGGAGCGAAAGCGUGGGGAGCGAACAGGAUUAGAUACCCGAGUAGUCCCUGUCUCUUAUAC